AGAACGAACGCUGGCGGCGUGGAUAAGACAUGCAAGUCGAACGCGACUUAUCUGGUUAGCAAUAACUAGGUAAGUUGAGUGGCGAAAGGGUGCGUAACACGUGGGAAUUUACCAAGAAGUGGGGGAAUAGCUCGACGAAAGUCGAAUUAAUACCGCAUAUGAUCGCAAGAUCAAAGCCGGGGACCGCAAGGCCUGGCGCUUUUUGAGAAGCCCGCGGCCCAUCAGCUAGUUGGUGAGGUAAAAGCUCACCAAGGCUAUGACGGGUAGCUGGUCUGAGAGGACGACCAGCCACACUGGAACUGAGACACUGUCCAGACACCUACGGGUGGCAGCAGUCGAGAAUUUUUCACAAUGGACGAAAGUCUGAUGGAGCGACGCCGCGUGGAGGAUGAAGGUUUCGGAUUGUAAACUCCUGUCACUGCAGAACAAGGCUACACCAGUUAACAGCCGGUGUAGUUGAUGGUAUGCGGAGAGGAAGGGACGGCUAACGU
rnacentral:rRNA from 1 species